rnacentral:rRNA from 1 species
AUUGAACGCUGGCGGCAGGCCUAACACAUGCAAGUCGAACGGUAACAGGAAGAAGCUUGCUUCUUUGCUGACGAGUGGCGGACGGGUGAGUAAUGUCUGGGAAACUGCCUGAUGGAGGGGGAUAACUACUGGAAACGGUAGCUAAUACCGCAUAACGUCGCAAGACCAAAGAGGGGGACCUUCGGGCCUCUUGCCAUCGGCUGUGCCCAGAUGGGAUUAGGGAGUAGGUGGGGUAACGGCUCACCUAGGCGACGAUCCCUAGCUGGUCUGAGAGGAUGACCAGCCACACUGGAACUGAGACACGGUCCAGACUCCUACGGGAGGCAGCAGUGGGGAAUAUUGCACAAUGGGCGCAAGCCUGAUGCAGCCAUGCCGCGUGUAUGAAGAAGGCCUUCGGGUUGUAAAGUACUUUAAGCGGGGAGGAAGGGAGUAAAGUUAAUACCUUUACUCAUUGACGUUACCCGCAGAAGAAGCACCGGCUAACUCCGUG